GCAGUGGGAUAUAGCUAAAACCUGUAGAGGGGGCCUUGUUCUUUUCCUCAAAACCAGCAAUAAUGUGGACCUGAGUGUACUUUUGAAAGCACAUUGGUUCUGGACUCCAAAAAUGCCACACUGCUAAGGGCAACACGCAGAAGCCUGGUAUCUGACUAAAGCUCACCAAGUGUUACAAGGCUUGAGCAGAGGGAAAUAUGCAACCUUGUGACCCUGACUCAGAAUAGCCAAACUCCAUCUGCUCUGAAACUUUAAAUGGACUUUAUCCAGGGAAAGCUCAGAAACUGCAAGUACAGAAUUUCACAAAACCAGAGAAGAAUGAACAGGAACACUUCCAAGUAGGAGGUAAUUGAUGAGCCAUUACAUCAAUGAGGAGGUACUUCCGUGCUGCAUUUCUUGGCUGCUGCAAGAAGCCCAGCUUCUUCUGUUUAGUGUCUAAGAGGUCUUUCUCUCCUGUUACUUUCCUAGUGAUAACUUCAUUUCAUUUCUUUAUCUGCAUCAAAUUUUCUCAGUAAGAUUCUUCUCCAUAGCAAGAUUCUUCUCCUUAGAUCUCAAGAAAUUGAGAUCCUGUAAAAAUUUAAAGUCAAUGCACUCCUCAGCAGCAAUCUCUUUCCAGUCUGCUGCUCAACUCUUACCCUCUUUUUAUGCUGGCCUCCUAUUUGCUUUAUUCUUUGCUUUUGUUUAUCUAUUCUUUCCAUCCUUCCACUAUGUAUGAAGCAUUAGAAAAAUAGGCACUUCAAGAUAAUGUGCUGCUGUUAGGCAGCUGAACAUUGCAAACUCUCAGGGGGCAAGGAAGCAUCUGAAAUGUGGAGUCUUUCUUUCAUCAGGAAAACAAGAGAACACCAAAGAAAACAGAAUUUCUGUAAAAAAUUUGCUAUAUGUUGUCCAGUCUCUGCUUAAAGCUUUCAGAUUUGUGUAGCCUUUCUCUAGAACCAAUAUAACUUAUAUGUGAAAAAAGCCCCCCUGCUUCAAACUAGGGAAUUAUUUGAUUUAUGCUACUGUAGUGUCAUUAACACAUUUUUAAUCCAUACAGGUCUUCUCCUGUUGUUUUUAAGUGCAUGGAGUAGCACCUCACAACUGCUAUUCAACUAUGUGGCUGCUGUAGCUGGGUUUCCUGUUACACAACUCAACACUCUGGUUUUAAACCAACAAAUGCCACCUGUCUGUACCAACCAGGAGGCAGCCCAUAGUCAAGGCAGCUUCUUUUUCCCAACUUGCUAAUUGGUUCACCCUUUUUUUUCUCAGUCAGAAUGCAUUACUAGAGAUGCCUGUGCUUUAUUCAGGCCAUUCUUGGUGUGAGUUAUUUGCAAGUAUAAGCCUGCAAGCAAACUCAUUGUAGGUGUAUUUUCCAAGAUGUGAAAAGAAGACUAUAAGCAUUUCGUAUAACCUGAGGUGUACCGUGCAAUUUAUAACAUAUAAAUAAAUUAUUAAAUUUGUCUUUCUUUUUUCAUUUGCCAAAUAUCAUAAUUUGAUUUUUAUGGGCAUGUGUUGGUGCCCCCAGCAGGCUCUUAGAAAAAUUAAAUCUGGAAUCCUGUGAAGGAAAUGUUGCAGAAAGAAUUAACUUGUUUACUGUAUUGUGAUGAAUGGAAUAGCUGCAUUGAAUGUAUAUGAAGCUGCACAAUUAAUUACUACAUAAAUGACUUGUCAAGUGCAAAAGUGUGUCAUGCAUGAUCUUUACCUACAGCAGACUGUAUUGCAUUGUAGAAGUAAAUAAAAAGCUCUGAAUGCUUUCAUUAUAGCACUUCCGGGAUGCCAACUACAGUCCUGUUCUUAGAGUAGUAAAGAACACAUAUGCAAAAAGGAAAUCUCAGACUUAUUAAACAUCCUGGACUUUCUUUGCAUAUAUUUCUGAAAUAAUCACUUGCACCAGAAUAAUUUUUGAAUUUCAUCUGAAUUGCACUCAUAGUAGUGUAUCUUUUUUACUGAAAGAAUUUACAGAAAAUAAUUAAAAGACUUUUUUCUUUAGUCACUGCAGAUCACAAGUCAUUAUUUCAUAUAAAGUCUAAUUACAUGUCUUAAUUAUAUAGGACUAAUUCACAGAGCUUUUUAGGAGUGCUUAUUUUGUGAUAUGUAUAAUGUUUUACAGCUCUCAAUUUUGCAAACAAGGAAUCAGUGUGACAGCUGAGACAUUGGGAGCUAGAGAAGGAAGGCUGUUGAAAACACCUUUCACCCACAUGACAGAAAUUUUAUUUGCCUGGAAUCGAAGUAACACAUUCCUUUUGCCCUUGAAAACCUCAAAUUAUAAGGGGAGGUGUGGUAGUCACAUAAAUAAAAGUGUCUACUACUGAGAGGUUGUUUUGUGAAUUAUCACAAAGGAGUUCUGAGAGAGUGCAGUCAAAUGAUUUUAUGCCCCAUAUCUCAUGAAUAAUACACAUACAGAAAUAAAUAGAAGAAUCUCAGCAUUGCAUCAGAGUCUUGAUGUUGCAUCAGAACUUUGUUUUUUAAGUGUCUAUGCAUCAAUACAAAAAUAAUUGAGAAAAAAAUAGAUACAUUUGACUUCUGGAACUGAAGAGAAAUUAGGAGAAAUGGGGAACAGAGCAGGAAGAGUAAAUGUCCCAUAGUGAUCAAGCAAUGUUGAAAUUAGAUU